rnacentral:lncRNA from 1 species
AUGCCCUCCCUAGGAUGUACUAUGUACUGUUUCUGGUCUCUCCUUUCCUUACAUGGUUCUGUUCUUCACCAUGUCUCCUUUCCCCAAACUGUCUUUUUUUGUACUUGCUUCUUCUUUCACACUUUUCUGUUAUUGACACUUAGUCAUAUUAAUCUAUGUUUUUUCUUCCCUUGGCAUGUUCCUACUCUUUCUAGUGAGUUAAGUUGCUCUGUUUCUACCCUUGGCACUCCUGGACAAUGGCAAGAUAGAGCCCAGAGCAUGAUACUGCACCAGGAAAAUCUGUGUUUCUCAGAAGAGCCUUGUUCUCCACUGCUGUUUUGACCAGGAUCAGGUUGGUGGUAGCCUGCCUGCUGCAUCCUCCAGAAGUGCUCAGCCUGGGGGCUGCCCUGCCUGAGCAGGGGGCAGAGGGCUGACAGGGAUUUUCUAGCUGUGCCCUGCCCUCUAUGUCACAGUUAACCUCUUGGAGCCUGAAGGAGGUGACCAGAGGCACUGGUGCCAAGAUGCAACUCCCAGGCACUACUGCUGUUGCUAUUUAUAAUUUCCCCUGCCUGUGCCAUGUGGAUAGGAUAAUAGGAUAGCUGUUCUGCUAAGCAAGCUGUAUUUGUUUUUACCACUGAAAUAUCUUGCUUUGUCAUGGUUUCCUUACUUUAAUAAGAAGCUUUUUUUUAUUAUUAAUUAAAUGUCUCACUAAUUUCUAUAAACAAGGAGGGUGAGGCACAUGUGAGAGAAAUUUAAAACAUAUUCAGUGAAAUCCAGUGUCACAGAGAAGAGGUGUAGAGACUGCAAACUGACCGUGACUCACCACUUCAUCAGUCUGAAGAACCACAUCCAGAGAGGGCAGUAUUUGCCAUUUGAUGGCUCCUCCUUUGUGCACUGUUGGUGGCCUGAUCCAGAGGUUACUGGCUCCUUAUACUGACUUCUGUGGGAAUCUUCAUGUGCUUUUUUGUCCCUUUGCUGGACCAAGGUUGGAGUGCUUUGUGUGCUAAAUGACAGAACCUGUCAGGUUGACCUGUCAUUAGUUUCUCUGACAGCAACAAGGUUUGAAACAUUUCUCUGAAAUCCAGUAACAAUCCAGAAGGGAACGAGAUCCUAUCUGCAAGAGCUUGCCUGGAGAGCUGAAUGGAAAAUUAUAGCCCUAUAACACUAUUUACAGAAGACUAGUGCAAGAACUUUUUGGCUAAUUAACACUGCCUACCUUGACUUUUGAAAAGCAGAACUGUAAUUUACAGAGGGGCUUGAUCCGGAAGCUGGGAUCUCAAAAAUUGCGUAUGUUCCUGUAAACAUCUGAUUCAUGUCCAAAAUUUUCUGCUAGUUUCCACUUCACUGUAUCUCAGGACUGAAUGUGGGAAGAUGGGCUCUGCUUCCCCUGAAGUUCAAGCUGUGUGGGUCUGGUCACCUCUCCUAUUUCACCUGUACAGCUAUUAAUCCAGCCUGAGUCCAACCUGUAUUUACUUGAUAGGCUGAAUUCAAGCUGAUGGUUACAAGCCUGUAUCCUGAGAGGACCUUUCUCCCAGCAGUGGCAGAAUCCUCCUUGCAGACCUAGGCAGCUUGUCGCCCCAAAACAAUAUGGGGUGGAAAGCCACAUUUAGGGUGUGUAACAAAAAAGGAAAUUUAAGAAAGCUGUCUCUCCUAACUUGUUGCCCUGUGAUGUCUCGCAUGCAGGUGACCACAGCAAUCCAGAGGAGCUUAUUUUUUUGUGCAAAAAGCUGACUGCUCCUUUCCUGAGUUCUCCUUCAGCCUCCACUUUUUAAACAGUUGAUUUUCAUCCCCUUUCUGUGAGUAACAAAUUAACGGCGCACAGAUCUCACUGCGUUUACUGGUUCUCUGGCUUCCUUCCUGUUGCUUCACACCCUUUAAAGGUUUUAGAAGAAGGUAACAGCAGAACAGGAAGGGUUGUCCUUAAAUGCUGAUCUCCCUUUGCUGAUCUCCAAAUGGCCGUGUCCUGCAACCUUCAUGGAGGAAAGGAAGGAUGUCACUAGGCUUUUAAAUUCACUUCAUUUUCCUGGCAGCACUGCCCCUCUGCCCAGGGGAAGUUACAUCUCUUGGGUCUCCUACCAUCCACUUUCUUGUGGCACAGGGCAGGAGACUGCUCUUUUCUCUGUGUUAAAAUGUGCAAAAUGAUUACUCUUGAGGACAGCUUCUCCUCUAAACCAUGUGGUGCCAUGAAGGAAUGUUCAAGAUUGCUCCCAGUUGGAUAGGAAUAACUGAAUCAAAAAACCUCAACCUACUUCCACCAGUCCAUCCCCUCAGACAUGUUCCCCAGGCAUGUCCCCAGAGCACAGCCCCUCUCUCUGCAGGCUGCCAGGUGAUGCUGCUGCUUGCAGGGCAUCCUGCCCCUGGGCUGCAGUUGGGCUGGGUGCAGGCAGAGGAGAGGCUAAUGUUGACAUUACCACCUGCUGUGGUCCACCACUGCAUGUCUCCUGUACCACCACACUGCUGGGGAUGAGAGGGAAUGAGGUGUGUGGGAACAGACAGCCUGUCCUGCAGGUACUGUGCUGUGAGUGCUGGGGAAUCACUGUGUUCAUGCUUGUAACUCCACCAUCAGCUUGUGACCAGUGACUAAAUAACCUCAGAGUCAAUUUUUUACUAUUCCAGCACAUGAGCUCCUUUUUUAGCAAGACAAUGUGGCCCCUGGGAGGCUCCAGCACUGAUGAAGCAGCUGUCUUGCUGGAUUUCCCCUCCUGCUGCUGAUGAAAACCACUGCUUCCUUCCACAACCCCCUCCAGCCCAACCCUGUCCUGUUCCCUGGGGUAGCCAGAUGCCUGCUGAUCUCCCCAGUGCUACCUCCAGCCCCUGCUAAAAAUACCAAGUCCCCCACACCAUUUUUUGCUCCUGAUCUCUUGCAUCCCUAGGUGAAGGACAAAGGAAAAAACUGGUAUAUGUGAAAUGCUCUGAGGGAAGUCUCGGUGUGGCACAAGGAGAAGAGGGUUUCAGGGCUCCUGACAGCAGCUGGGCAUCACACCUGAGCAGCACUUGGGUACGUUGCUGUUGGUCUUGCUCCAAGCAGAGGUGCUGGAGUGAUGGCCAGGCACAUGGCAACUUCCAUCUCUCUUACAUAAUUCCUUUUUGUGCUUGGUAAUGUACCUGGCUAUGUUCCUAUGUUCAAAAGGAUGCUGGUGGCUUUCUGAAGGCAAAUAAAUACAUGUGCUCCAUCA